rnacentral:rRNA from 1 species
CACGUAGGGCGCAAGCGUUGUCCGGAAUUAUUGGGCGUAAAGAGCUCGUAGGCGGUCUGUUGCGUCCGCUGUGAAAACUCGGGGCUUAACCCCGAGCCUGCAGUGGAUACGGGCAGACUAGAGGUAGGUAGGGGAGAAUGGAAUUCCCGGUGUAGCGGUGAAAUGCGCAGAUAUCAGGAGGAACACCGAUGGCGAAGGCAGCUCGCUGGGACGGUACUGACGCUGAGGCGCGAAAGCGUGGGGAGCGAACAGG